ACAUCGUAGAGCCGCCACGGCUUGGCUUACAUGUGGUCGACCUCGUGUUAGAGCUGUGAAAGCAAACAUGUCAUUUGUUGUUUCUCCUCCCUUCUUUGUCUAUUAUUCCUGCUCACGCUGACGGAUGUGGCUGAUUUUAUGAACAAGAGUUGGACAAUAAACCGACUCAUACAACCGAUGUGCUGGUCUCAGUGUUUGAAGUAUUUUUUUUCAGAUCUGAGCAGAAACCAACAGACGGAGGAUCGUGCAGGGAACUCAAUAGCUGCACACUUACUUCAUGCAGUGGUUAUAUCUCCAUCAAACACAGUGACUCAGCACCAUGAGGUCCUGGUUAGGUUCACAUGUUUGCCACACAGACAAUCAUCAAACAAACAGCAGAUCGUGGAUCUCUGCUGUUAUUUGAAGUGAAAACUGUUCUUCUUGGAGUAUUGUGCACAAACUUCAGCACUGAAGUAUUGACAGACUUUAAGAGUACUUGAGAUAAGAUGUUUGACCUUACACAGUAGCUCCACAUGUGCACAGUUAGACCUCUGCUGGCCUAUGCUUAGACAGAAGUUUGUAGUUUCGGUUGUGGAAGGGGAAAUAAUUAAAGGCCCUUCUCUUGACACCUGUCCCAAAUAAAGUCGUGGUAUGGGGUUAGCAAUUACUCCAACUUUACUUGCCUUUAUAACACGAUUACACUGCUUACGUAUACAGCUUUAUCCUUGCCUGUGUUCGUCACUUUAGAGAAAAGCAUCUCCAAAUGACAUUGUUACAUCAUUUGUAACAUCUACUGUAGCAACAGUUUCUUGUGGAGUUCCUCAGGGCUCUAUUUUUGAGCCUUUUCUUUUCACACUUAGUAGAAAAACAGCAGUGAGUCUGCAGAUGACACACUAAUACACUUGUCUCACAACAUCAUUUAGCGCUAUCCUCUUAAACCACUGGAAUUAUAAUGGACUUGGAAAAUUUGGUAACCUUACAUUUCUGACUUUGUAUGAGAGUGGAACAAAAGUCCAAACAUCUGGACUCAGUGGUGCUUCUGAUGGAUCUCUGUAUCAGUGAAAUCAUCUAAAAAUCUCAGUGUGAUUAAUGGAGAGUGAAUUAAAAUACAUAUAGUUUGAUUCUGAGGUCAAAUCCACACAAAAUUUAUCUGACUCCAUACUUUUCACUGGUUUCCUUCUCAUUUUAAUGUUAACUUUGUCUGGUAUAACUUCAGACUAAGGCCUGGUCCCCUGCAUGGUUUCAGUCUGCAGAGUUAACUCAGUGGAAACAUCAGCGGUAUCUUAGUGAAGGUCGUCCAUAUUUGCUCCCUGACUUUUUAGCUCGUCUUUUGUCAGGCUGUGUGUCACUUCCCUUAAGUUUACACUGACAGAAUACCUUUUUAUCCAUCUUUAGUUACACUAAGUCAGACAGACUCUCUCCUUUAGUGUUUUGAAGCCAUCAGGUACCUGAUUGUGUAACUUUUCUGUAGUUUAGAGCGAUCCAUCGACCCCCGUGCCCUUCCACUCAGAGUGAAAACAGCCCACCUGACUCUGCAGCUUGUUAUUCACAGCAGGACAUGAACAGUUAAUUACAUCCUGUGUUACGCUACGACAGCUGAGAGGACUGAAGGUGUUUGACUGGAAGUAGAGCUCAGUUUGGUGCUUUUGGCUGCUCCUGAGGCCUGAUGACUCAGUAAAACCGAACAGCAGCAGUCUGCUCUCAGACCAAACUCACACUGAUGCUGUUUUCCUCAAGUCCCGGUCUGCAGGUGAAAGUGAGUCAGACUCUGAUGAUUUCUCUGGUUUAUUGUGGAGAUUUUAGAGAAGCUCAGUAAACUCAAGGUGUGUGCUGAUGUGACCUAAGGAGCCUGCUAUUCAUUCUCCUCAUGUGUGCUCCUGCAGUGUCUGCUUGGGUUAAAACUAGAAUAAAGUGAAUGUACAUUAUACAAAAAUAAGACAGAGGAGAGCUGACAGGUGACACAUUUUGAUUUAGGUGUUAAGGGAAGAGACUUUGUGGCUCUGGAUGCAAACAGCAGGGGUGCACAGAGACAGUAUUUGGUGCUUUUUGAAUUGGACAGUGGUUUUUAUCCUUUUUUGCAGGUUUGGUGAAUCCAAAAGGUUCACAACCUUUUUAUGAACCAAGCCUAGAAUCUUCAACUCAAGUGAAGUUAUACUCUCAUUUAUUCUUUCAUGUGUACAAACUGUUUCUGUUCAUUCUGUUAUAUAUAAGUGGAGAAAGCUCUUAAUCACAUCUAAGAUUCAAGAGGUCAAACCUUUAUUAUCUGUUCACCUGUUAAGAGAGGCAUGUCUACAGACUUGUUUAACUGAAAAUCUUUGUCCUCUCAAACCAGCUCCAAUAACUCAAAGUUGGCAUUGAAAUCCUCAAACGGUCUUUACCAAUAACAGAACCGUGAGCUGCAGAGUUUGCAGAAACUCUCUUUUUGUUUCUCUGUCAGAGUUCAUAUUUCUCUGAUAUUCCCACGAGCUGCAGACUCUCUCCAUCCUGACGAUGUGUGAGGGCCGACGGGCUUAUCGUCCACUUCCUGAACCUCCUGCUGAGCAGAGACGGAGAGCAGGUCGCGACCUUACAUCACGCUUUUAUCUCAGCUGACUCUAGUUUCCUGCACCAUGACUUCACCUGUUAAUGCGCUGACGAGUGUUAUUGGAGCUAGAUUAGCCUCGACCCUGCAGGGUGGAGCUGGGCUGACGUGAGAGUCAAACAGAUGGCCUGAUUAUUGUGGGGAACUUUCCUGCUGAAAACUCAGAACUUGAAGGUCGGUCCUCCAAUGUUCAUUUCCUUCACACCCGUCAACGUGAGAAGAAACCCCCAAAUAUUUCAAACAUGUCCUGAGCCAGUGACAAGGUUUAUAACCAGCUGGUUUUCAGACAAUUUCAGACUUUUUAUCAAAUAAUAUAAAAUCUUUUUAAGCUGACCACAGACAUCACACAGACUGCAGCAGCAUUUAUAUUUCUCAGCUAGAGGUUACACAAGACUUCGCCAUUCUCUGUCAUUUUGGCCAACAGGGUUAUAAAAAUCCCAUCAUAAUCUAUUUUUACACUCUAAUUUUUAAAAUGAAUCAAUAGCAUUUAAUUUUCACAAAUUUCUUACAACAUCGGACAUUGAAGAUCAAGUCAGUAUUGGGUCGGUCCAUCAAAGACCACAUCUAGACGUCAGUGCGACGUGCAAAAUAGGUUAGAAAUUUCGACGUCCAAAUUGGACCUUUUUUAGACGUCGCUCUGACGUUUAGAAUUUGGACGUCAUCUGAAGACCAAAUCUAGACGUCGGCACAACGUGCAAAAUGGAUCCAAGAUUUAGACGUCAUUAUUGGACCUCUUUUAGACAUUGAAAUGAUGUCCACAUUUGUACCUCAUCGUCGAAAAAAUACGUUAAAUAGAUGUCAUUUCGAUGUUGCAUUGUGCAGUGGGAAAAGCUAAUUAAUAUGCUCACUCACCACCAAGUGUUUAGGAAUUGGAAUUGUAAAAUGACAGAUGGCCUUUACCGUUUAAACAAAAACCAACAAAAAAAAAUGGUCAAGUUUGGAGAAUAAUUAGUUAACGAGACCCCUGAUCUCAGCCCAAAGAGAAAGAGGAAAAAUAUGUUCAAAGUCUGCACUUCCUCCAGUGUCCACUAGAGCUUAUCUCCUGCAGUGAGUCAGUCCACUCUUCAUAUUCUCUGAAUCUUUGAAUGAUAUUAUAUAAUGUAGACGAUGAAAUCCACUUAUUCUUUCACAUUUGACACUCGGGAACAUUAUUCUGAAACUGUUGGACUAUUAGCUCACACAGUCUCUUACAGACAAGGAGGAACAAUAACAUUUUUUCAGUUAAUCAGAUGUUGUCUUAGCAUUUUGUAAAUGGAAUAUUAGCCUCAGGUCAUUUGCAAACAAUCAAAUCGAAUUUUAUAAACAUUUUCUCAGUUGACUUUGAGUUUCAGAAUAAAGAGUCAGCAGGCUGAAGAGUGACAUGUGGACAUCCUACACUGCACAGUUUGGCACACAGAGAUUAUUGUGGAGCUGAGAUAGUAUACUUUCUUCCCUCUCAGAAACAUCCACUCCAGUGAAAUAAGUAAUCUCUGAUUAUUUCCUGAUAUUUACUGCUAACCCCGUCUGUUCUCACUCCCUACACUUCUGUUUUCUAACAUACAUCAAAGUCCGGCCCCUGGCUCGAGGCUUUGCUGCUGUUUUUGUAAAAUGUAAAGAAAUAAUGAACUCAGAGGACUCUCAGAGUUGUUUCCCCUGUGGGCUGAUCCUCCUGCUGGGAAUGUUUCUGAGACGGUGCUGAUGCAGCACCUGUUCCCAGAUCACACUCAAACAUGAGGCCGAAACAGACUAAACAUCCCCCUGGACUAAAAACUACAGUCAUCAAGUUAUGCGCUGGAGACGACUUGAGCCAAUAGCUGGAAUCAUAAGUUCAAAGCUGAUAUUAACUCUGACAAUGAACUAACUGAGGGAAUACAUAUCUGUCAACCUAUCAACCAGCAGGCUUUAGUGUUUGCAGGAAAAUCAUUCUGUAUGGAGAGCAAAAGCAGGAGGAAUACAGUCCACCAUGGUGACCUCCAACUCCCAUGGUUGGUGAUCCGAGGAGGAUUUCUGUCUCAAUAAAAACAGAUAUCUGUAUGAAGGUCAGCUAACGAUAUGUUAUAGAUCAAAAAUUUACACUGAGACACGAAUAACAUGAGUGAAGCCUUUGAGAGAGUAUUUACAGCGAAACGCACACUUUUCUCACAGAGAUACUGAUGUUCUCUGAGAAUACAAAUCAAUCUUAAAUCAUCCCAUUCGGUCAAAAAUAGUAGAAAACACCAAUCUAGAAGUGAACAUGGACUUUGACUUUGCUUCUGUCAGGGCAGAGUUGAAAUCAGAGGAAGUGAUGAUUGACUGAAUAUGUUUUCGCAUAACAGUGUACAGAAAGUACAUUUCAUGUUCCCAGCCUUUAGCACAUUCUGUAAGGGGGACAUUAGUCUGUCAUUGACAUGUGAAUCCAGCUGUUUGCAGACGUCUCUACACAGCGCUCUAUAUCACAGCUGACUGUCAGUAAAUACUGCACAGUAAGGUCUGAACUGGAAGAGGUCGUACAUCUGCCAAAGUUAAAGUAGUCUGAAGCUCUGAGUGUGUUCAUUAGGCUCUGAAGGAAAGCUCUGUGUGUGUAUUAGUGUGUGUGUCUGUGUGUGUAAGUGAGUAGAGUCUGUGAAUUUAAAGAUUCCUACUUUAAUAUCUAAGGGAGAAACCUGCUCCAGCUGCUCAUAAGCAGUUUUUCCUUGUUGAGGAGACUCUGGAACCAUAUACUCUGGCUGAGAGCCGGUUCCUUGGCGGUAGAAACACAGAACUGGUUCCAAAUCAGGAACCAGGUCUGAACUAAACCUGGACCCAGCUUGGUGUGAAAGGGGCAACAGUGCUGCGCUCCUGAAGUUAAGUGGCAUGAAGUGGACGACAUCGAAGACUGAAUUUAAUACAAGUUAAGGAUUUUAAUGGCAGUUUUAAGUGUUUUUAAAAGUGAUGCCAAUUUUUUUUUAAAAAAGAAACUUUCAACGUCCAAACGAAUAAGAGCCACAUUCUGGAGAUGGAGAAUAUGAUUUCCCUCAUUUUAAAGCUUCACCAUAAAAAAGCUGCUAGCCUUCAUUCAUGCUGCUUCUUCUUCUGCUUCAAAACUUUAUCCAUGUGCAGACACGCUCAAACCAAAGGAGCCAGAUUAUCCUGCAUUCAGAACUCUUAGCAAGGGUAUCUGGGGUCUGCCAUGCGGUAACUCUGGUCCCUCCUCACUUUAACAAGCUGCCUCAUAAACUUCUGGCUCAAAUGUUCAUUUUUGGAAUGAUGGGUGGAUCACAAACGUAAAAUUCAAAGUGAGUGUUUCUUUGAUGUGAUUGGGUGAGGAGGUUGGAGUGCAGUUUAUUUCUGGUGGAUAAGGACUGGUUUUCCUUCAGUGCUAAUUCUCUGGGCUUUAGUUUGAUGUUCAGAAAGGAGUUUUAUAGUAACUUUCCCUGUCAGCUGAGCUUACACAACACUGACAUUAAACGAAGCAGGAAUGUAAGCCACCCGGAGAACCAACAGGAGAAAUUCCUCAGUUUCCUGGGGGAUAGAUUGACUCUGUGGUCGUCUCUGAGUUGCAUAAUUUGUGCCGGUGGAGAUUAAAGCUGAGCAGAAACGGAGCUGAAGUUUGGGUCCCGUUAGUCUGCCACAUCUUGGGUUAUUUUCCCCUCAAAGCUCAGCCCCGGGGACACCUGCUGGGGUUACACAAACACCUCCACUUUACAGAGUGGCCUAAAAAUAGCCCUGACUCCAGGAGGGAACCACAUCUCUACCUUCCCGAUGUGUUCACUCAGGAUGUUGUUGAAGUCUGGAACAUUCCUCACACGCUCAGCCAGCCUGCAUAUUUGCCUCUUCCCCAUCUUUCUGUUUUAUUCCAUCCACCUUCUCACGGCCUGAGAACACUCUGUACUGAUCUGAAGCACCGCCUGUUUACACAUGCAUGUAACUCACAUAUUAUAACGCAGAUCCGAGACCAAAACCAGAACACUUUAUCCUGAAAUCCAGCAGCAAAGCUUCAUGAACCUUCCAGAAGAUCAGCUGUUGCAACUGUGUGGUUCUGUCCCCAGUCCAGAUAAAGAGGACUGAAGACCAUCUACAUACCUAAAUACUAAAUACCUCUCUGCAAACUCUAGUUCACACCUUGACUCGUUUUAAAGAUCUUGUGAGGAACUUUCAGUUUGUGUUGAUUUUGGCGCCCCCUGUGGACAAAGUAGUAUCUGAUUCUCAAACCUCGUCCUGCUGUCUUUUAGCAGUAAAAAUAUCUCUGUAAAUGUCACUAAUCAGCAUUUCAUUCAUUUUAUGAUCAGCUACAUUCACAACAGACAGACCUCUUUAAAACGUGUAUCUGAAACACAUCCAGAGAGUCGAUGUCUGCAGGUCCGAAACUCUCUCUGUAAUCACGUCUGAAUAAUCAGCUCUGACAGCUGUUGGCGUUAAAACUGAGAGAAAUUAUAGAAACACAACGCUCGUUAAGGUCCAACAGCUGUGUUCAAUCUACUGCUGCUGUUUUACUUUCUUUGAGAUGGUUAGUUUGUUUUUGAUGAACAGAAGGAAGAGAGAAGGGGUUAAAUUUAGAAGCUGAGAUGAGUCUAAAAAAACAGAUCAGUAUAGUUAAAAGAAAUUAGAGAUGUUUGUUUUUGUUUUUUGUUUUUUAAUUUCCUCACAGCCAGUUCUACGAUAAUAAUUCAACAGCCAUUAGAACUAUUUGUUUUACAGGUGGUCUUGAAAAACAAUCGCCUUUUGUUUUUGUUUUUUAUUUGUUUUUUGUUUGUUUAUAUAUACACAUAUAUACACUUGUAAAUGAAAGAAUAAAAAAAAUAAAAAAAUUGGGAAGAUUUAAGAAAGAAGGAAAAAUAAAAUAAAAAAAAGACAACAACCAUAAGAACACAGAAAAAACAAAGAGGACAAAAGACAAAAACAAGAGUUUAUUUAACUAUUUUCCCUUUUUUUUUCCUCACAUCCACUUUCACUAUAAUAAUUCAACAGCCUUUGGAACAAUCCAUUUUACAAGUGGCCUUGGUAAACAAUCACCUUUUGUUUUUCUUUUCUUUUUGGUUUUGAUAUAUAUUAAGAUGUGUAAAUGAAUAAAUAAAAAAACUAACAUUUUAGAAAAUUUAAGAAAGAAGGGGAAAAAAAGACAAAAACAACAAUAACCAUAAAAAAAACAUUGAACAAACAAAGAGAACGAAAGAAAAAAAUGUUUGUUUUUGCAGGUGAGUCAAAGGAGUGUGAAUUUAACAAGCUUCAGUGGGGCAAAAUAUAAUUAUAUGAUAUGAUAUGAUAUGAUAUGAUAUGAUAUGAUAUGAUAUGAUAUGAUAUGAUAUGAUAUGAUGGAAUUCUUUAUUUAAUACAAUAUAAUUUCAAAUGAUACAAUAUAAGACGAUACCAUAUGAUACAAUGUAACGCAUUGUAGUUUGAUGUAAUAUAACUCCGAUGAUUUAAAAAAAAACGGUCCCUCUGCUUAAACACUCUUCAUUUCUCAGCCACACAUGCACCAGCUGACACACUCGGACUAACACACCUCAUAACUUCAGCUCAGCUUGACUUUAUGUUACAUAAUAAACUUUAAUGCUGCCCCGUUUCAAUAAAGAGUCCCCCCUGUCUCUCUGUUGUGUCCCACCAGUCGGGUCCUGACUGAUCAGGUGUUCCUGUGUGCACCUCUGAGGGAGGUUAUGAACCCAGACAUGAUGGACGCCCGGAGGGGAAAACAAAAUAUCACUGCGGUCAAACUCAAGGCCGGUGUUUGCAUUGCUUUGGAAACAACUCCAUUAGUCAGGAGUGCGAGAUUUGAGAUGCAAAGUUUUUUAAUCAUUCUUGAAAAAAAGGGAGCAAAAUCUUUUUUCUUGUAGAUUAACUUGAGACAAAAAAAAAAAAAAAAACACUUUUAUCCGACAUCUGGAUAAUUUCCCCUGAUGCCCUGAUGAAGACAAGAUUAUCCAAAGUUCCAAAACAGCUUUUACACCUUAAGACAAGUUGAUUUAUCAGUGUGGUAGAAGUCUGACAGUUUGGGACUCGGUGUUUUAAGGCUAGGGUGAGAUGUGUUUGAGUGAGGUUACUGUGUUUUUGUGAUCCACUGUGUGUUUACUGCAGCUGAGAGCAAACGUGUACACACAAAUAUGCUUCAUCCUGCAGAGUGGUCUGCAUGAGUCUGCUUGAAUCUAGCAGACACACUCAGGUUUGUUUACAUGCAUCUAACUCUUCCUCUGCAGGACAACAUCCAGGAGUUUGUCAGUCGUGUGCAGACUCUACCGCAGAUCUCUCCCGGACAAAAGGUCGCUUGUUAAAAAACCUCAGGAGGAGGACGAGGAGUUGAAGCGAUGUUCUUUACUGCAGCCGUUUUCUCGUUCAUGACAGGAAGUGCCAGUCAGACCACAGGAAUGUAAAGCUCUGCAGCAGACACGCUUCUCCAGAGAGAGAGAGAGAGAAAGAGCGAGAGAGAGAGGAAGGGUCAGAGUACAGGAUCCAAAGAGGUCGACUGACAGAGUGGAUAUUUCACAGAUCUGUACAGAACAAAUUCACCUGCAGAGUCCUGUCUGCUUUUAUAACCUGCUGGAAAAACAUGAGGGCUGAGUGUUAUAUAGGAUUAGGAUUUUACAGUAAAUCAGAGAGAAACAUGUGGUAAAGUAUACAGUUCAUGAAAAUGUAUGUCAUUCAACACAAGAUAGAGGGUCUGGUGUGCUGACUGGUUUGUAUGCACAUGGAUUUUAAAGUGUUUUGAUAACAGGAGGAGUUUGGGGAUUAAAUAGAGGUGAGUGCACAAGUGGGGUGAUUGGUCCUCUCUGUGUAAAAUUAACGUUUUAUUUUGACUCUCUGUGAUGAAAACAUGUUUGUUUUGUAUAUCAUAAGUUUGGAAAACUUAAUGGUUGAUCAUCAGCUCUAAAUGGACCGCAACAGAAUUGUGGCAAAUGUUAACAGUGGGCCUCUCCAGUCUGAGUGAGUUUUGCAGUACCUGAAUAGUGAUCUCCCGCUGCAUUUAAUCUUUCAGAGAAAUCUGUCCCAUCUGUAAUUCUCUGUAGAGGAACUGUGCAGCUGUAGAUUGGAGCUUCAGGUGAACUUUUUUUUUCUUUUUUUGGAAAAAAAAUUAUCAGACACCAGCUGGGCAGAGAGAGGGGCACAGAGAGGCUUGGAAGGGAGAAAGAGCGUCUAUCAAGGUUUGUUUACCACUCAGUUUCCAGCUACACAUCCAACUUCCAGCUCAAAGCCCAGCAUGUGAACACUGAGCAUGCUCAGAACACUUAAACCAGUUCCAGUCUGAAUGAGCCAAACAUGACACAGAAAAUCAGGCCCAUGAUCAGGUAUGUUAGUCCAACUGAGAGAAGUUUGACUGAGUGCAGUUUCAGUCAGACACUGGCUGUUUUCAUGUUUUUUCAGAAAGUGACUGCAUGAGAAAGGCAUGUCUGAAAAAUCUACUGGUACAUGGCUAAGAGACACGGUGCACCACUUAAUCUACAGAGGACGCAUCAAACAUCACUUACUGAAAAUCCCUCAGCUGUUUUAUAAGGAUGCAGGUCACUAACAAAAGCUCCAUGUCAAUAAUCUAAAUUCCUCACUGAACAUGUCUUGCCAAAAUGUCUGUCAUGUGCACAAAUUUUAUCAAUAAGAAAACUUCAUAUUUACGGAGUUAUAUUUUGAAUAUGAAUGUUGAAAUGUGCAUUCCUCCACAUUAAUAUCGUUAAGAGUGAAUAAAGCUCACUGUCCUUUUUAUCAAAGGUGUAUUAGGGUGUAUUUCUGCAGGCAUGUGAGCCUGGAGCAGCAGCAGAAAGGUUCCUUGUCCUCAACAGCUGCAGCUUCAGGUUGUUUUGUCUGCAGGAGCUGGCAAAGAGAGACGUGUCCCCGAAGAUUUGAAUUGGAGCAGGUCUGACAGGAAAUACCUCUGGCACUGAGCUGGGGCAGCGUGCCUCACCUCUGACAGUCUGCGUGAAACACCUACGCUUGUCUGCAGCAUGAGAGGGAGAAAGGGAGGAGAGGACAGGAGAGGACAGGACAGGACAGGACAGGAGAGAAGAGGGGAGGAGUGGAGAGGAGAGGAGAGGACAGGAGAGAAGAGGAGGCUGCAGACGGAGACCGUGGAGGAGACAUGAUGUGUUACAGUAAGUCAGGAGAGCAGAGGGGGUUUCAGAGAGAGUCUGAGACAGUCCCUCCGGUCCUCAGCAGAGUCUGAGGUGGUGUAUCAGGUUGCUCUCAUGCCCACCCUGCUCUCUGCUCCCUCACACAGACACACGCUCACACGACACACACACUCAGGAGAGGCCCUUGAAGGCUGUCCAGCCUCAACAUUCGCCCGUCUGGAAGUAAUUAAAGAAGGAAAAGGUGGAUGAGGUGGUGAGACCAAUUUUCCCAGAGUCAGAGAGACCCGCCCUGACUCUGUACCAUGCACAUGCUUUUUUUUUUUUUUUACCCACAAUCCCCCUGUAACGACAUUCCUGUUCUUAUAAUUCCCC